rnacentral:sRNA from 1 species
UAUUGUGUGAGGAGUGAAUAAGCGAAGAGGCCCUUGGAGUCGAAACACGGCAAGACGUCCAAGGGCCUUUUU